UUUGCCAUGUCCUAACUUAAAAUCUCAUAUCAUAAAACAGGAAAUAUUCUGAUUUCUGAAGCUAAGCAGGGUCGAGCCUGGUUAGUACUUGGAUGGGAGACCACCUAGGAAGACCAGGUCUGCAGGC
rnacentral:rRNA from 1 species